rnacentral:rRNA from 1 species
GACGAAGGAUGCAAGCGUUAUCCGGAUUCAUUGGGUUUAAAGGGAGCGUAGGCGGCCUUGUAAGUCAGUGGUGAAAUCUUUCCGCUUAACGGAAAACUGCCAUUGAUACUGCUUGGCUUGAGUACAGAUGCUGUGGGCGGAAUAUGACAUGUAGUGGUGAAAUACAUAGAGAUGUCAUAGAACACCGAUUGCGAAGGCAGCUCACAAAACUGUAACUGACGCUGAGGCUCGAAAGUGUGGGGAUCAAACAGG